GUUCGCCUCCAACAUGCGCGGAACUUCUCUUCCUGAUUCAGAUGCUUUUAUGAAGAGAUAUUCAAUAUCUUUUAUGCUAAAAUAGAAGUCCUUGGGUGCAACCUUAUUCUCAACAUCAUUUUCUUUUACUGGUGUCUUCAUGUCGUUAUCAUCAGCAGGUCCUGAAGGUGCAGCUCUUAGUGGGGACAGAUCAGGUGACUUGCUUUUCUCCACAUUCAGAGACUUGGCUUCUGACACUUCACUCCUCACAGAGGUUAUUUCAGGUGAGCCACUAUUGCUAGCAUGAUCAGUUGUUCUAUUGACAUUUUGAAAACUUCGGACCAGUGUUUCUGCGGAAGGCUCAUCAAAUUCAUCAUCAGAGACCUGUGACCCAUCCCUUCCAGGUGAAGAAUAAUGUUCUUCUUCAUCUUCUGAUGUAGAAAUUAUAUCCUCAUCUCCAUGAUGUCUAUUGUCAUUUCCAUUCUCAAUCCUUCCAUUUUGUGAAGUCAAAUGAUUAUCAAUAUCAUGGCCAAGACCAAAGUAGUCCCAAGGUGAAGUUUCAGAAGGGGAAGGAGGGAUUUCAAAUGGUGAAG
rnacentral:misc_RNA from 1 species